AUAGAUACGCAGUUACUACCAUAGAGACACAACACUACAAACUGCACAGAUUGCAAAAUCAAAACCGACAAACUCACACUUGCGGUUUUCCCUCUCUCCAUUUCUUUGUCUGAUUAUUUUUGGAUUUUUAUAAUUAUGGCUUUUUAUCACACAAACGGGACAACAUAAAUUAACAAUCUAAUUUUUGUAUUAUCAAAUUACACUGCUAAAGAUUAUAUGUAUUACUAUGGCUUAUAAAAAAAUAUAUAUGUAUUACUAUGUAGUGACAUUAAUGGAACAAGCAAUCAAUGUAUAUGCAGCUGCACACUAAGUUUUUUGACAUCAAUGGAACAAGCAUCAACGUAUAUGCAGUUGCACACUAAGUUUUUGUUUGCUAAGCCUAGACUCAAAUUGGAAGUGACAAGGAUCACAGUAAAUCUUGCCAACAACAGAGAAUUCAUCAGCAUUAGGAGCCUUACGAGCAGCCAAGACACAUGAGAAACAAAAAGCAGAAACAAUGAGGG